rnacentral:ncRNA from 2 species
UUUUGAAAAAGGCAAACUUGCCAAAAGGCAAGGACGCAAAGCUUAGAGUCUAAAGCAUUUAAAAUGCUACGAUUGUCUGGCUGCCAUA